rnacentral:rRNA from 1 species
GAUGAACGCUGGCGGCGUGCUUAACACAUGCAAGUCGAACGGUGAAGCAGAGCUUGCUCUGUGGAUCAGUGGCGAACGGGUGAGUAGCACGUGAGCAACCUGCCCCUGACUCUGGGAUAAGCGCUGGAAACGGCGUCUAAUACUGGAUAUGAGCUGCGACCGCAUGGUCAGCAGUUGGAAAGAUUUUUCGGUCUGGGAUGGGCUCACGGCCUAUCAGCUUGUUGGUGAGGUAAUGGCUCACCAAGGCGUCGACGGGUAGCCGGCCUGAGAGGGUGACCGGCCACACUGGGACUGAGACACGGCCCAGACUCCUACGGGAGGCAGCAGUGGGGAAUAUUGCACAAUGGGCGAAAGCCUGAUGCAGCAGCGCCGCGUGAGGGAUGACGGCCUUCGGGUUGUAAACCUCUUUUAGCAGGGAAGAAGCGAAAGUGACGGUACCUGCAGAAAAAGCGCCGGCUAACUACGUG